AGCCCUGUGGCUUAGUUAGUUAAAGUGCCUGUCUAGGAAAUAGGAGCGCUUGGGUUCAAAUCCUAGCAAUGCCU